GACGAACGCUGGCGGCGUGCUUAACACAUGCAAGUCGAACGGAAAGGCCCUGCUUUUGUGGGGUGCUCGAGUGGCGAACGGGUGAGUAACACGUGAGUAACCUGCCCUUGACUUUGGGAUAACUUCAGGAAACUGGGGCUAAUACCGGAUAGGAGCUCCUGCUGCAUGGUGGGGGUUGGAAAGUUUCGGCGGUUGGGGAUGGACUCGCGGCUUAUCAGCUUGUUGGUGGGGUAGUGGCUUACCAAGGCUUUGACGGGUAGCCGGCCUGAGAGGGUGACCGGCCACAUUGGGACUGAGAUACGGCCCAGACUCCUACGGGAGGCAGCAGUGGGGAAUAUUGCACAAUGGGCGGAAGCCUGAUGCAGCAACGCCGCGUGCGGGAUGACGGCCUUCGGGUUGUAAACCGCUUUCGCCUGUGACGAAGCGUGAGUGACGGUAAUGGGUAAAGAAGCACCGGCUAACUACGUGCCAGCAGCCGCGGUGAUACGUAGGGUGCGAGCGUUGUCCGGAUUUAUUGGGCGUAAAGGGCUCGUAGGUGGUUGAUCGCGUCGGAAGUGUAAUCUUGGGGCUUAACCCUGAGCGUGCUUUCGAUACGGGUUGACUUGAGGAAGGUAGGGGAGAAUGGAAUUCCUGGUGGAGCGGUGGAAUGCGCAGAUAUCAGGAGGAACACCAGUGGCGAAGGCGGUUCUCUGGGCCUUUCCUGACGCUGAGGAGCGAAAGCGUGGGGAGCGAACAGGCUUAGAUACCCUGGUAGUCCACGCUGUAAACGGUGGGUACUAGGUGUGGGGUCCAUUCCACGGGUUCCGUGCCGUAGCUAGCGCUUUAAGUACCCCGCCUGGGGAGUACGGCCGCAAGGCUAAAACUCAAAGGAAUUGACGGGGCCCCGCACAAGCGGCGGAGCAUGCGGAUUGAUUCGAUGCAACGCGUAGAACCUUACCUGGGUUUGACAUGGAUCGGGAGUGCUCAGAGAUGGGUGUGCCUCUUUUGGGGUCGGUUCACAGGUGGUGCAUGGCUGUCGUCAGCUCGUGUCGUGAGAUGUUGGGUUAAGUCCCGCAACGAGCGCAACCCUUGUUCACUGUUGCCAGCACGUUAUGGUGGGGACUCAGUGGAGACCGCCGGGGUCAACUCGGAGGAAGGUGGGGAUGACGUCAAGUCAUCAUGCCCCUUAUGUCCAGGGCUUCACGCAUGCUACAAUGGCUGGUACAGAGAGUGGCGAGCCUGUGAGGGUGAGCGAAUCUCGGAAAGCCGGUCUCAGUUCGGAUUGGGGUCUGCAACUCGACCUCAUGAAGUCGGAGUCGCUAGUAAUCGCAGAUCAGCAACGCUGCGGUGAAUACGUUCCCGGGGCU
rnacentral:rRNA from 1 species